AGGAUCCAAUUUGUUUAUCCAUUUUUUUUUAAAAAAUAAAUUUCUCCAUUUGCCCACCUUGAGAACAUGGACUUGUGUCCUGUUGUAAUCCUAAGUAGUUCAUAUUUUUGUUUUUCAGCUGUUUCAAUAUGAAAUGAUCAUAAACAAAAGUUGAUCUUAAGCAUGUUUAAUUAA